ensembl:lncRNA
GGAUAGUGUAAUGACUGCAGGCUCUAGAGGAGAGGAGGUGGAGGAGGAGAGGGAUAGUGUAAUGACUGCAGGCUCUAGAGGAGAGGAGGUGGAGGAGGAGAGGGAUAGUGUAAUGACUGCAGGCUCUAGAGGAGAGGAGGUGGAGGAGGAGAGGGAUAGUGUAAUGACUGUAUAGUUCCCUUAAGGAAAAGCACCUUUAGUAAAUUUGUUUUCUCAGUGAGAGCUUCCCAUGUCUGGAAUACACUGCCAUCAGACACACAUAACUGCACCACAUAUCACACUUUCACAAAAUGCUUAAAGACAUGGCUAAAGGCCAAUCAGAUUUGUGAACAUGGUCCCUAGCUGUGUGUUGCUGCUUUCCCAUGUCUGUUGUCUGUAACUUGUGAGGUGUGGAAACACUUUCUUGUUGCUUUUAUGAAUUUUGUCUUGCUGCUUUUUGUUCUAUGUUGCUCUGUCUGUAUGCUAUGUCUUGCUUGUCCUAUGUUGUUCUGUCUGUAUGCUAUGUCUUGCUUGUCCUAUGUUGUUCUGUCUGUAUGCUACGUCUUGCUUGUCCUAUGUUGUUCUGUCUGUAUGCUAUGUCUUGCUUGUCCUAUGUUGCUCUGUCUGUAUGCUAUGUCUUCCUUGUCCUAUGUUGUUCUGUCUGUAUGCUAUGUCUUGCUUGUCCUAUGUUGCUCUGUCUGUAUGCUACGUCUUGCUUGUUCUAUGUCUCUGUUGCCUAUAUUGUAAUUGUUU